rnacentral:rRNA from 1 species
GUGCCAGCACCCGCGGUAAUACACAGGGUGCGAGCGGUAAUCGGAAUUACUGGGCGUACAGCGAGUGUAGGUGGCUCAUUAAGUCACAUGUGAAAUCCCCGGGGCUUAACCUGGGAACUGCAUGUGAUACUGGUGGUGCUAGAAUAUGUGAGAGGGAAGUAGAAUUCCAGGUGUAGCGGUGAAAUGCGUAGAGAUCUGGAGGAAUACCGAUGGCGAAGGCAGCUUCCUGGCAUAAUAUUGACACUGAGAUUCAAAAGCGGGGGUAGCAAACAGGAUUAGAUACCCUGGUAGUCC